rnacentral:rRNA from 1 species
UACGUAGGGGGCUAGCGUUGCUCGGAAUCACUGGGCGUAAAGCGCACGUAGGCGGAUUGCUAAGUCAGGGGUGAAAUCCUGGAGCUCAACUCCAGAACUGCCUUUGAUACUGGCGAUCUCGAGUCCGGGAGAGGUGAGUGGAACUGCGAGUGUAGAGGUGAAAUUCGUAGAUAUUCGCAAGAACACCAGUGGCGAAGGCGGCUCACUGGCCCGAUACUGACGCUGAGGCACGAAAGCGUGGGGAGCAAACAGG